rnacentral:rRNA from 1 species
UACAGAGGGUGCAAGCGUUGUUCGGAAUUAUUGGGCGUAAAGCGCGUGUAGGCGGCUUGGCAAGUCGGGUGUGAAAGCCCUCAGCUCAACUGAGGAAGUGCGCCCGAAACUGCUAUGGCUUGAGUACCGGAGAGGGUGGCGGAAUUCCCCAAGUAGAGGUGAAAUUCGUAGAUAUGGGGAGGAACACCGGUGGCGAAGGCGGCCACCUGGACGGUCACUGACGCUGAGACGCGAAAGCGUGGGUAGCAAACAGG